ACAGAGGGUGCGAGCGUUGUCCGGAAUCACUGGGCGUAAAGGGCGCGUAGGCGGCUUUGCAAGCGUGCGGUGAAAGCUCGGGGCUUAACUCCGAGUCUGCCGUGCGAACUGUGAGGCUUGAGUCUGGUAGAGGUCGAUGGAAUUCCGGGUGUAGCGGUGGAAUGCGUAGAGAUCCGGAAGAACACCGGUGGCGAAGGCGGUCGACUGGGCCGAUACUGACGCUGAGGAGCGAAAGCGUGGGGAGCGAACAGGA
rnacentral:rRNA from 1 species